ACAUAUAUAUCCACUGUUCAAUACCUGAAAUAAGCAUACAUAUGUGGUGAAGCACGGUGUGGAAAGCCUUGUGGGGUGAUGUAGGGUAAUUGGGGUGUUGCGGUUCUGUAUAAUAAAGGGCGCUGUUAACCCUUGUCACUCGUGAUGCCAGGUUGAGGGUUAAAACUCUGUAGUGAUGCUGAGCCUAUUGCCACCCUUCCCAAGAGUGAUAGCAAUCAAGGCUUUUAAAAUCAUGACUUUAUCCAAGCUGAAGCGCAGGCAUGGACAACGUCAAGAAUGAAAAAAUUAGAAGCCAGAUCUGCAUCCAAUCAUGUUUUGCAAAUAUUUAAUGUGAAAGACUGCAUAUAUACUUAUAUGCUAAAAGGUACUUUAGUCAUUUACUGUCUUUUGAUCUAAAAUAUAUAUUACAUUUGUGUCCUUGUAUACAAUUUUAUUGAUGUUUGUACAUCUUUGUACAGGUUUGGAAAGCAACAUUCAAAUUUGUCAUCUUUCUAGUCUCAGACAGCAUUUAAGAACAUCUAUACUUCAGAUUUUACCAAUAAAUAUAUAGUUUACACAUUUGUUUUAUCAUCACAUAAGUCAAAACAUUUACUAGAACUCCAUGGUACAAACAAUAAAUAAUAUUUAUCAUGUUUUACAGUAUAAGAAAGUCCACAUUUACAAGGCUUAAAUCAUUGUAGUGCAGUAAUGCAUCAUAGUUCAGUGCAUGAUAGUCACUUGAGUGAAGGAGCUGUAACAAUAUAUUACUUGAAAUACUUUGUAAAUGUAAGUGAAAAAGUUCAUGAUGCAUAAUAUGAUGAUUCUUUCCAAUACAAAAGAGACCAUGUAUCUUUAAUUCAGUGAGGUGUCGUGGAUAAGCAGAGACUUAAAGGGGUAUUCCAGGCCAAAACUUUUUUUAUAUAUCAACUGGCUCCGGAA